UGCGCGUUUCCUCCCUCCCGAAGCAGAAGUUGGCUUAAACGAAGCGGGUGCUGCUUUUUGAGGAGGAAAAUCGCUACUUCUGCAUUCUCAGAUCAGGGAUUGCAGUUGAGUGGAGCCCUUUCUGAAUCGUAUCCAGUUGUGUCGUGAUUCCACUAGAGCCAAAUCACACCACUGCAUUAAUGACUUCGGAGUGGAUUAUUUCACGUCAGCAUGUAACAAAUGAUCAUCCAGGCCAUCCAAAUGAGCAAAUGGUUGAUGUUACAGACACCUGUUUAAAAAGGGCAAGAUUUAAUUUCAUGUAAAUGGAGUCCACCUGGAAAUGGUAUUUCUGAUGCAUAGGUAAAUGUGAAGAGAGCACUUCCUUAUGUUUGCCUCCCUACAGCCCUUCUUUCUCGUGGCCUCAGGCAGGGUGGAAGAUACUCUGCUUUCUCAUUCUGCUUUGGAUGUGGCAUUGGCUGUUACAGCCAUGUCUUCGCAAACAUAUGCUUCGUCAAACAAGAAAAAUCUAUUAUGUAGAAGAGAGUUGAGUGGGGUCCUCAGGAAGAUGGCUUGGUACUCUGAAAACAUAGUUCUCUUUGCAGAACUUCUGCAUGACAAAUUGCCUUCAGUUGGGUGCUCACUGUUGCAUGGUCUGCUGUACUCUAGACUGAACUUCAUUUUCACAAAUGGCCUGUUACCAUUAUAGAAAUAUUUCAUUACCUGAGUGCAGCAACACACAGCAAGACCCCAGUUCCACUGCAGAACACAGUUAGACAUAACUUAGUAUAUGCCAGUAGUUGAUGGUCUCUCCUAUUUGUCUAUGGGAGGUAUAGAUUCACUUGAGGAGAGAGGAGUGUCACCUGCAUUAUCCAUUGCUUUCCACAUCUAACCAUUUGGACUUCCAAAGGAGAAAUUACUGUAAAAUACUGUUAUUUUUGUUUUGUUUUGUUUUUUUAUGUUUCAUUUCAGUUAAAAUGCAGCUGGAUGUGCUUGAGUCUGAACAUCUGGUGUUGUCUCUAGAAGAAGAUCUUGGAAUGAAGAGGUCUCUCCCCUCCUUAGCAUCCUUACAGGAUUCCUGCCUCUUUAAGGAGGGGCAUGGAGCCAGCCAUUCGCUAUGUGGUGAUCUCUGUGCCCUCAGAGCCAGGAAACAUCUGCAUGGAGGUUCUAUGCCUUGGCACAGCCAUAGCCUUCCAGAGGCAACAUGGCAGCAGAAGGGUUUGUGGUGCCUUCUGUGAGUCAUGUGUGGCUUUGGCCAUGCAUGAAUAUUCAAGCCCAGAUAGAUCUAUAUAAGAGAAGCAGAAUAAAACAGUGAGUUUCUGUUGAGAAUACACACACCUGUGAGAAAAGCAGUCCUACUGUGCUAGUGGUAAUGGAGGGGUGUAGCACCCAGAGGAGGCUGGGGUUCAGUGAGAGUGCUGAAGCUUGUGGAGAGUGUGAGAUGGCUCUUGUAGUACUGAGACCUUUCAUCAUGUGCUCAGGAAAUGCAUGAAUGUUGCUUUGUUUUUGUGUGUGGCUCUGAGUCUCUUUCAGACCUUGCUGCAUCUGUUUGAGUGGAACUUCUUCAGCUAUCAGGAGGUCAGGCAGCUGUAGGUACAAGGUGGGUGAUAAGGUGGGAGUGCAGGAUGGCAUCAGGAUAGAGAGUUGGCAUUACCCUCGCUGUUCUGCAAGGUCCUGUGGCCAAGAGCUUUCUCAGAGAGUGCUUCCCUUGCUCACUUAAUCAGCAUAUGUCCACCAGCUGUUGCUCACAUUACUACAUAUCUGCUAUGAUGUUAUUAAUUGUGCACUAUGAUGUGCAGAGCACAGGGCUAAUGUUUCCAAAAGCUUUUAGGCAUUAUCCAGGGCUAAGAUCAGACUGUCUGAAAGACCAAAGAGGAGCAUUCAGAAAAUUUAUUUCUAGCAGUAGCAGUACUGAGUAGGCAGUUUCAGUGGAGCUUCGUCAGAUAGGGAAUUUUUUGUUGCAGGUUUCAUCAUUUGGGAUGAGAAGAGCUGCUGUUUUUGUGGAGUGUUCUGCAAAUAAUCUGUUCAUAUGUGCAAAGAGCUGUCAAGACUCAAGUGGUACAUGGUAUUAAAUAUUAUGCAUAAUAGUUUCAUAGUCGCUCAUUCUUUUAAACAGGUCUCCACAUCUUCAUUUUGUUUCAUGCACUAUAACUGGUAAACAUUUAUGAAUAUUUUGUGAUGUCCCUUUGCAAAAAGAGCUGGAAAAGAUUGCCAAGAAGCUUAGUGAACCAGUCGGGCAUUUCCUUUGCCUUGAAAAGUGACCCUAGUAAAAUGGAAAUGGCAUCACAUUAACUUUCCUUUUGGGAAUUCUGAUAGAUAUAAGGACCUAGAAACUUUGCAACAUCAAUUCACCUGAAAAUGCCUUUGGAUUUACAAUAGGCCUGAAUUCUUUGGGAUAGUUGGCUGUUUUUAUUGUAGAGUGUAAUGUCAAAAAAGAAAAUAAAAGACAUGAGUUCUAGAGUUCAUAUAA